rnacentral:rRNA from 1 species
AUUGAACGCUGGCGGCAGGCCUAACACAUGCAAGUCGAACGGUAACAGGAAGAAGCUUGCUUCUUUGCUGACGAGUGGCGGACGGGUGAGUAAUGUCCGGGAAACUGCCUGAUGGAGGGGGAUAACUACUGGAAACGGUAGCUAAUACCGCAUAACGUCGCAAGACCAAAGAGGGGGACCUUCUGGCCUCUUGCCAUCGGAUGUGCCCAGAUGGGAUUAGCUAGUAGGUGGGGUAACGGCUCACCUAGGCGACGAUCCCUAGCUGGUCUGAGAGGAUGACCAGCCACACUGGAACUGAGACACGGUCCAGACUCCUACGGGAGGCAGCAGUGGGGAAUAUUGCACAAUGGGCGCAAGCCUGAUGCAGCCAUGCCGCGUGUAUGAAGAAGGCCUUCGGGUUGUAAAGUACUUUUGGCGGGGAGGAAGGGAGUAAAGUUAAUACCUUGGCUCAUUGACGUUACCCGCAGAAGAAGCACCGGCUAACUCCGUG